AUUGAACGCUGGCGGCAGGCUUAACACAUGCAAGUCGAGCGGAGUGAGGGUGCUUGCACCUUAGCUUAGCGGCGGACGGGUGAGUAAUGCUUAGGAAUCUGCCUAUUAGUGGGGGACAACAUUCCGAAAGGAAUGCUAAUACCGCAUACGCCCUACGGGGGAAAGCAGGGGAUCUUCGGACCUCGCGCUAAUAGAUGAGCCUAAGUCGGAUUAGCUAGUUGGUGGGGUAAAGGCCUACCAAGGCGACGAUCUGUAGCGGGUCUGAGAGGAUGAUCCGCCACACGGGGACUGAGACACGGCCCAGACUCCUACGGGAGGCAGCAGUGGGGAAUAUUGGACAAUGGGCGGAAGCCUGAUCCAGCCAUGCCGCGUGUGUGAAGAAGGCCUUUUGGUUGUAAAGCACUUUAAGCGAGGAGGAGGCUACUUAGAUUAAUACUCUGGGAUAGUGGACGUUACUCGCAGAAUAAGCACCGGCUAACUCUGUGCCAGCCGCCGCCGUAA
rnacentral:rRNA from 1 species